GGAAAGUGAGCUGAUGGUUCUCCACUUUCCCACUCUCUCUCUGCAGGUCCGGCUCCUCUAAGGGCAGAAGCCAGAACUUGGUCCCUGAACCUUCUCCAGUCUCCCUCCCUGGGCAUUUCUCUCAUAACCCCAUCAGACCCCCCAGUAAUGGCCUGACGUGGGUUCUGGAAAUAGAACAUGGGUUCUUAGAAUGGCUCUCUGAGACUUCAUUGAGUUGUCUGUCCUAUUUCUUUCCUCAACAAAAUGUCCACAUCCUCAAUCUCCUGUCUCAGCAGGAAAGAUGAAAAGAACAGUGAGGCUUAGGCCAGGCACGGUGGCUCACACCUGUAAUCCCAACACUUUGGGAGGCUGAGGUGGGCAGAUCACCUGAGAACGGGAGUUCGAGACCAGUCUGAACUCCCUGUCUCUACUAAAAAUACAAAAGUAGCCAGGCGUGGUAGCGGGCACCUGUAAAUCCCAGCUACUGGGGAGGCUGAGACAGGAGAAUCGUUUGAACCUGGGAGGCGGACGUUGUGGUGAGCCGAGAUAGUGCCACUGCACUCCAGCCUGGACAACAGAGCGGGAAAAAAAAAAAAAAAGAACGAUGACCCUUAGCAUCCCAGGAAGCUUUGGGUGGUGAGAGAUGGAGAGUAUCUCCUUCCUGUGGUACUUCAGUUUCCCGUCUCCUUGUUAGGAUGUUGCAAAGCUGGCCUGCUGAGGUCUUCUGUGAUCUCCUGUGCUUCCUACACUUCCACCUGAAAAUGAACCUACUGCAGGGAUGAAUCCAUGAGCAGAAUUUUAAUGAAAAGGAAGCAGACACAAAGGAAUCCAUGGGUUGUAACUCCACCGACUUAAAAUGAAAAACACAGGCAACAAAGAACAGGCACGAUGCUGCUUCGCCAGCUGGUUCCUUGUUGGGUUCUGCCAUUCAGGGAUGUAAGAGGGAAGCUGGGAUGUUGGAGGACUGGAGUGUGAGGGUAAAUUUUAGGUGUCAACUUGGCUGAGCCACAAGGUCCCCAGGUAUUUGAUCAAACAUUAUGCUGGGUGUUUCUGUGAGGUUGCUUUGGAUGAGAUUAACGUUUAAAUUUGUGGACUUUGAGGAAAGCAGAUUGCCCUCUAUCUGUGGGUGGGCUUCAUCCAAUCACCUGAAGACCUGAGGAGAACAUAAAGUCUGGCUGCCCCAGACUCUCUCUCAGGCAAGAGAGAAUUCUUCCGCAGACUGCCUUCAGAGUUCAUGCACACCAUCUACUAAUCCUGCUCCACAGCAGGUGCCACUGGGCUCUCACUGGAAUAUGUAUUCUCCUGGUUCUCCAGCCUGCUCAUCCACCCUGAAGAUUUGGGACUUGCCAGCCUCCUUAAUUCUAUAAGCCAAUUCCUUAUCAUAAAUUCAUAAAUCCCUCUCUCUCUAUCUCCAUCCACACACACACACACACACACACACACACACACACAGACACACACACACAAAUGAGUGUAGAUGUGUUCCAAUAAAACUUCAUUUAGAGACAUUGAAAUUUAAAUUUCAAGGUGCUGGGAUUGCAAGCAUGAGCCACCGUGCUCAGCCAUCCAGCCCACACUUUAUGGACAUUGGGCUCUGCCUAGUUUUUGUCCUGGCUCACUGGGGAUGGCCUAUGUCCAGCUCUAUGAAAUUUGUAGCAGGCCUUUGAGUUCCUUUUAGCAACGCUUGAUUGUGCCAGAUCUCUCCAUGUUCACUAAUAUCAUAGGCUUGCUAUGAGAAGCAACACCCAAAAUCUUGUCUUUGCUAGCAGCACCAGGGCUAUCUCCUACAAAGACUGCCUCUUCAGAGCCACAGCUCACAACUGCCUUGGCUGGGGUGUAUGAGUGGCUGAUUUUUUUCAAACUUGCAAGGCACCAAAUUAUUCAACUGUUUGUGUGUGGCAGGCCAGUCAGGGGUUACCUACAUUAACAACACUCUGGAUCCUUCUAGCUCUCCUUGCACACUGGCAAGCUCCAGCCAGAGACCACUUUUCUCACAGGACUUUGUUAAAAGCAGCCAAGGAGGAGCCAACAAAACCAGCAUUCUGGAUUCUUGCCGUUUUCCUAAUGCCACAGAUUUGGUCAAAUUAUGAUCCACCCUCCAAGCUAACACAGGCUGCAACCUGGCC
rnacentral:lncRNA from 10 species